CAAAAGAUAGUUURAGUAAAAUGCUAGUUUUGGGGGCUGGCGACGGGGGUUACAAGCCUCUCUUUUGA
rnacentral:tRNA from 1 species